rnacentral:rRNA from 1 species
UCGAGGGGUAUAAGUAGCAAUACUUAGAGACCGGCGCACGGGUGAGUAACGCGUAUGCAACCUGCCCUUUACUGGAGGAUAGCCCGUAGAAAUGCGGAUUAAUACCCCAUAGUAAUAUAGGAUCGCAUGAUUUUAUAUUUAAAGUUUCGGCGGUAAAGGAUGGGCAUGCGUGACAUUAGCUAGUUGGAGAGGUAACGGCUCACCAAGGCUUCGAUGUCUAGGGGUUCUGAGAGGAAGAUCCCCCACACUGGUACUGAGACACGGACCAGACUCCUACGGGAGGCAGCAGUGAGGAAUAUUGGUCAAUGGGCGAGAGCCUGAACCAGCCAUCCCGCGUGCAGGAAGAAUGCCCUAUGGGUUGUAAACUGCUUUUUCGCAUGAAGAACACCCCUGACGUGUCAGGGGCUGACGGUAAUGCGUGAAUAAGCACCGGCUAACUCCGUGCCAGCAGCCGCGGUAAUACGGAGGGUGCAAGCGUUAUCCGGAUUUAUUGGGUUUAAAGGGUGCGUAGGCGGCUAUUUAAGUCAGUGGUGAAAUCCUGCAGCUUAACUGUAGAACAGCCAUUGAAACUGAAUAGCUUGAGUGAUCUUGAGGUAGGCGGAAUGUGUAGUGUAGCGGUGAAAUGCUUAGAUAUUACACAGAACACCGAUUGCGAAGGCAGCUUACUAAGGAUUUACUGACGCUGAUGCACGAAAGCGUGGGGAUCAAACAGGAUUAGAUACCCUGGUAGUCCACGCCGUAAACGAUGAUAACUCGCUGUUGGCGAUACACAGUCAGCGGCUUAGCGAAAGCGUUAAGUUAUCCACC